rnacentral:rRNA from 1 species
UACAGAGGUCUCAAGCGUUGUUCGGAAUCACUGGGCGUAAAGGGUGCGUAGGCGGCAUGGUAAGUCAGAGGUGAAAUCCCGGAGCUCAACUUCGGAAUUGCCUCCGAUACUGCCAUGCUUGAGGACUGGAGAGGAGAUUGGAAUUCACAGUGGAGCAGUGAAAUGCGUAGAUAUUGUGAGGAACACUAGUGGCGAAGGCGAAUCUCUGGACAGUUCCUGACGCUGAGGCACGAAGGCCAGGGGAGCAAACGGG